rnacentral:rRNA from 1 species
GUGAGGCAACGGCUCACCAAACCUUUAACCGGUGCGGGCCGUGAGAGCGGGAGCCCGGAGAUGGGCACUGAGACAAGGGCCCAGGCCCUACGGGGCGCAGCAGUCGCGAAAACUUUGCAAUACACGAAAGUGUGACAGGGCUAUCCCGAGUGCCAUCCGCUGAGGAAGGCUUUUACCCAGUCUAGAAAGCUGGGAGAAUAAGGAGAGGGCAAGCCUGGUGUCAGCCGCCGCGGUAAUACCAGCUCUCCGAGUGGUGUGGAUGUUUAUUGGGCCUAAAGCAUCCGUAGCUGGCCAAGUUAGUCCCCUGUCUAAUCCACCGAAUUAAUCGUUGGAGUGCGGGGGAUACUGCUCGG